AACGAACGCUGGCGGCGUGGAUAAGACAUGCAAGUCGAACGGGAUCAAGUUUGUAGCAAUACAAAUUUGGUCCAGUGGCAAACGGGUGCGUAACACGUGAGCAAUCUGCCGGGAAGUGGGGGAUAGCUCGCCGAAAGACGAAUUAAUACCGCAUGUGGCCAGGAAGGACAUCUUUCCACAGCCAAAGUCGCAAGACGCUUCCUGAUGAGCUCGCGGCCUAUCAGCUAGUUGGUGAGGUAACGGCUCACCAAGGCGCUGGCGGGUAGCUGGUCUGAGAGGAUGACCAGCCACACUGGAACUGAGACACGGUCCAGACACCUACGGGUGGCAGCAGUCGAGAAUUUUUCACAAUGGGGGAAACCCUGAUGGAGCGACGCCGCGUGGAGGACGAGGGUCUUCGGAUUGUAAACUCCUGUCAUGCGGGAACAAGAAAGUGAUAGUACCGCAAGAGGAAGAGACGGCUAACUCUGUGCCAGCAGCCGCGGUAAU
rnacentral:rRNA from 1 species